GCCUAUGGCCAUACCACUUUGAACAUGCCUGAUGUUGUCUGAUCUCAGAAGCUAAGCAGGGUUGGGCCUGGUUAGUACUUGGUUGAGAAGCAAUGCCUCAACUUGGCUUGGCUUGAGCG
rnacentral:rRNA from 1 species